rnacentral:rRNA from 1 species
UACAGAGGGGGCAAGCGUUGUUCGGAAUUACUGGGCGUAAAGGGCGCGUAGGCGGCCCGCUAAGUCGAACGUGAAAUCCCCGAGCUCAACUCGGGAACUGCGUCCGAUACUGGCGGGCUUGAAUCCGGGAGAGGGAUGCGGAAUUCCAGGUGUAGCGGUGAAAUGCGUAGAUAUCUGGAGGAACACCGGUGGCGAAGGCGGCAUCCUGGACAAUUGCUGACGCUCAGGCACGAAAGCGUGGGGAGCAAAAGGG